UGCGUUGACAACGUAAGGAAGCAUGGCGCCGUUGUGCUGCGUUUAUGUCUGUCACAACAACUACAGGAACACUGCUGGAAAACUGCCGCCGAUCAAAUUCUACCGUUUUCCUUGGAAAUCGUACGAGACUGAAAGAAGACAGAGGUGGAUCGCAGCUGUCCGCGGAGCAAGCAGCCCAGAGGGAGAGCUGUGGCAACCGAAAAUGAAUGAAACGCGAAUAUGCAGUGCUCACUUCGUGGGAAAUGAGAGAAGCAACCUCGCUGAGCACCCAGCGUACGUUCCAACUAUAUUCCCACCUUGCUACAGAAAGAGUGAUGCCGUUUUCCCCCAGACGAAACUUGGAACAUUUGAAAGGGUUCAGCGACGUAGCGCGCUGCGACCAGUCAUUGCUCCAACGUGUCAAACUGCUGCCUCCUUGAGUUCAGAGCACGACACAGCGGCACUGGAAGAACGCCACGAAACGUCAAACUUGGAAGCCACCGUUCCCUUCAGUCCCGGCUCGGCACGGGACACAUCCGCCUCGGAAGAAUGCAACAAGUUUGCGUCCGUGAUGACUCUCACAGGGAACAGUUCGUUCAAGGAGCCAUGUAGCUUGUUCCUUCCUGUGGUGUUGCAGUGUGAUGCAUCGACACAAGUUUCUCAUAUUGAAACUAGAGACAGCAGCGUGCAAGCAGAACCUGCAGUGAGGUCAACCGCCACUGGCCCAGAAGAGCGAAGCUGCAUUUUCCUUGGAUACAGCUCCCUUUGCGAAAGGAGAAACCCAUUUACAGAACAGGCAAGCACGGCCAAUAGUCGGCUUCGUGGAAUUACCACCUACAACCGCUUACAACUUCACCACGUACAUUAGCUCACAUACCAUGUAUUUACAAAUUCUUUUUGAACAUAACAUGCAGAAUAUGCGCAAUUCGGCCUGUUCAAGUGCAUUAACAGAAGAGGCGGACAUGCGCGAAAAAUCUCACUGUCCAAGUAGCUAACGAAAAAGAUUCACUGAAUAACUUUUUGAGUAACACUGUGCGCGGUGCCAUGUCCCACAACGUUCUCCAGCAUUUGGCCAACCCCGAGAAACUAUAUCGCCGCCCACCGAGCACAUUUCGCAGGAUAGAGGCGGUUCUUCGCCGAGCCCAGAUCGGCCAGCUUCUGUCACCAGCAAGGCUACACCUCAUCAACCCGCACUCACACCCGAGCCCUAAGUGCCCGGCAUGCCCUGCCAGAGGAACGGCCGAACAUCUGUGGAGCUGCUCUGCCUUUGACGCGGUCCGAGAAAGGACGCUACACUCCCUGGGCGCGAACCGACCUGGCACCCUGCCCAGUAGUGGAUCGACCCGCCAUCGCACAUCGGGCCCAAGGUCUCACUCGAGCUUUGGCGGGCUUUUCUCGACUUUUCGGGGAAAAGGAAGGGCCUGGCUGCCUCCUUGCAGAGACUACCUCGGGACCACUCCAACCUCGAGGAAGAAGAGAGCACCGGUCCCCCUCCCCCAUAGAGCACCCCUUUUCUGCCGCAAGGCUUCGGCUAUUAAACGCAGAAAUAAAGACGUCUUCUUUAAAAAAAUUAA